rnacentral:rRNA from 1 species
GACGAACGCUGGCGGCGUGCCUAACACAUGCAAGUCGAGCGGAGAAUGCGGACAUGUUUACAUGGAAGUGUUCUUAGCGGCGGACGGGUGAGUAACACGUAGGGAACCUACCUAUACGACGAGGAUAACUACUGGAAACGGUAGCUAAAACUGGAUAGGAUCAAUUGAGGCAUCUUGAUUGAUUUAAAGAUCCUUCGGGAUUACGUAGAGAUGGCCCUGCGGCGCAUUAGCUAGUUGGUGAGGUAACGGCCCACCAAGGCGACGAUGCGUAGCUGAGCUGAGAGGCUAAACAGCCACACUGGGACUGAGACACGGCCCAGACUCCUACGGGAGGCAGCAGUAGGGAAUUUUCGGCAAUGGGGGAAACCCUGACCGAGCAAUGCCGCGUGAACGAUGAAGGUCUUCGGGUCGUAAAGCUCUGUCCUAUGGGAAGAUAAUGACGGUACCAUAGGAGGAAGCCCCGGCUAACUACGUGCCAGCAGCCGCGGUAA